rnacentral:rRNA from 1 species
UACGGGGGGAGCAAGCGUUGUUCGGAUUUACUGGGCGUAAAGGGCGCGUAGGCGGCCACUGCAAGUCGGUUGUGAAAUCUCCGGGCUUAACCCGGAAAGGUCAACCGAUACUGCAGGGCUAGAGUGCAGAAGGGGCAACUGGAAUUCUCGGUGUAGCGGUGAAAUGCGUAGAUAUCGAGAGGAACACCUGCGGCGAAGGCGGGUUGCUGGGCUGACACUGACGCUGAAGCGCGAAAGCGUGGGGAGCGAACAGG